AAACUUGAGAGUUUGAUCAUGGCUCAGAACGUACGCUGGCGGCACGCCUAACACAUGCAAGUCGAACGAAGUAGCAAUACUUAGUGGCAGACGGGUGAGUAACAUGUAGGUAUCUGCCCUUUGGCCUGGAAUAACACGAGGAAACUUGUGCUAAUACCGGAUAAGUCUUUACGGAGAAAGCUUUAUGCACCAUUGGAUGAGCCUGCAAUUGAUUAGUUUGUUGGUGGGGUAAUGGCCUACCAAGACUGUGAUCAAUAGCUGAUUUGAGAGGAUGAUCAGCCACAUUGGGACUGAGACACGGCCCAAACUCCUACGGGAGGCAGCAGUGGGGAAUCUUGCACAAUGGAGGAAACUCUGAUGCAGCGAUGCCGCGUGAGUGAAGAAGGCCCUUGGGUUGUAAAGCUCUUUCGUCGGGGAAGAAAAUGACUGUACCCGAAUAAGAAGGUCCGGCUAACUUCGUGCCAGCAGCCGCGGUAAUACGAAGGGACCUAGCGUAGUUCGGAAUUACUGGGCUUAAAGAGUUCGUAGGUGGUUGAAAAAGUUAGUGGUGAAAUCCCAGAGCUUAACUCUGGAACUGCCAUUAAAACUUUUCAGCUAGAGUAUGAUAGAGGAAAGCAGAAUUUCUAGUGUAGAGGUGAAAUUCGUAGAUAUUAGAAAGAAUACCAAUUGCGAAGGCAGCUUUCUGGAUCAUUACUGACACUGAGGAACGAAAGCAUGGGUAGCGAAGAGGAUUAGAUACCCUCGUAGUCCAUGCCGUAAACGAUGUGUGUUAGACGUUGGAAAUUUAUUUUCAGUGUCGCAGGGAAACCGAUAAACACACCGCCUGGGGAGUACGACCGCAAGGUUAAAACUCAAAUGAAUUGACGGGGACCCGCACAAGUAGUGGAGCAUGUGGUUUAAUUCGAAGAUACGCGCAGAACCUUACCAACACUUGACAUGUUCGUCGCGACUCUAAGAGAUUAGAGUUUUCGGUUCGGCCGGACGAAACACAGGUGCUGCAUGGCUGUCGUCAGCUCGUGUCGUGAGAUGUUGGGUUAAGUCCCGCAACGAGCGCAACCCUCACUUUUAGUUGCCAUCAUUAAGUUGGGCACUCUGAAAGAACUGCCAGUGAUAAGCUGGAGGAAGGUGGGGAUGACGUCAAGUCCUCAUGGCCCUUACGUGUUGGGCUACACACGUGCUACAAUGGUAUCUACAACAGGAAGCAAGACUGCGAAGUUAAGCAAAUCCCUAAAAGAUACCUCAGUUCGGAUUGCACUCUGCAACUCGAGUGCAUGAAGCUGGAAUUACUAGUAAUCGUGGAUCAGCGUGCCACGGUGAAUGCGUUCCCGGGUCUUGUACACACCGCCCGUCACACCAUGGGAGUUGGUUCUACCUUAAGGCAAGGUUUCAAACCCUUGACCACGGUAUAGUCAGCGACUGGGGUGAAGUCGUAACAAGGUAGCCGUAGGGGAACCUGCGGCUGGAUUACCUCCUUU
rnacentral:rRNA from 1 species